AUGGCUCAGUGAGGCCUUGGGACUGGCUCAGAGAGGUCGGCAACGACCACUCAGAGCCGGAAACUUGGUCAAACUUGGUCAUUUAGAGGAAGUAAAAGUCGUAACAAGGUUUCCGUAGGUGAACCUGCGGAAGGAUCAUUAUCGAGUUAGGGUCCUCUGGGCCCGAACCUCCCAACCCUUUGUCUACUCAACCUCUUGUUGCUUCGGCGGGCCCGUCCUUUACUGGACCGCCGGAGGACCGUCGCUCUGCGGCGGCGCCUCUGGCCCGUGCCCGUCGGUGGCCAACUUCAAAACUCUUUGUUUAAAUCGUGUCAUUUGUCUGAAUUCAAAAACAAAAAUAAAACGCAAAACUUUCAACAACGGAUCUCUUGGUUCUGGCAUCGAUGAAGAACGCAGCGAAAUGCGAUAAGUAAUGCGAAUUGCAGAAUUUCAGUGAGUCAUCGAAUCUUUGAACGCACAUUGCGCCCUUUGGCAUUCCGAAGGGCAUGCCUGUUCGAGCGUCAUUAUCACCCCUCAAGCCCCGCGCUUGGUGUUGGACGGCCCGGUCGAGUUCGUCUCGACCCCUCCCAAAGACAAUGACGGCGGCCUGCGGUUCCCCCGGCACACUGAGCUUUUCACCGAGCACGUGUCGGAUCGAAGGGUACCCGGGCCACGGUCCUCUUCCUAGUCACUAGGAAACUCCACGCAAGGUUGACCUCGAAUCAGGUAGGAAUACGCGCUGAACUUAAGCAUAUCAAUAAGCGCAGGAAAAGAAACCAACAGGGAUUGCCUCAGUAACGGCGAGUGAAGCGGCAACAGCUCAAAUUUGAAAUCUGGCCUCUUGGGGCCCGAGUUGUAAUUUGUAGAGGAUGUUUUGGGUACCGCCCCGGUUUAAAUUUCUUGGAACAGAAUGUCAAAGAGGGUGAGAAUCCCGUCUUGGACCGGCGGUAGGGCCUGUGUAAAACUCCUUCGACGAGUCGAGUUGUUUGGGAAUGCAGCUCAAAAUGGGUGGUAAAUUUCAUCUAAAGCUAAAUAUUGGCCAGAGACCGAUAGCGCACAAGUAGAGUGAUCGAAAGAUGAAAAGCACUUUGAAAAGAGAGUUAAACAGUAUGUGAAAUUGUUGAAAGGGAAGCGCUUGCAACCAGACUUGCGCGCGGCGGUUCCCCUUGCCUUUUGGCCAGGGUACUCCGCCGCGUCCAGGCCAACAUCGGUUUUGGGGGCCAGUUAAAGGCCCUGGGAAUGUACCUACCCACGGGUAGACUUAUAGACCAGGGUGCCAUGUGGCCUCCCGGGACCGAGGAACGCGCUUCGGCUCGGAUGUUGGCGUAAUGGUUGUCAGCGACCCGUCUUGAAACACGGACCAAGGAGUCUAACAUCUAUGCGAGUGUUUGGGUGUCAAACCCGGAACGCGGAAUGAAAGUGAACGGAGGUAGGAAGCUUCGGCUGCACUAUCGACCGAUCCUGAAGUUUACGGAUGGAUUUGAGUAAGAGCAUAGCUGUUGGGACCCGAAAGAUGGUGAACUAUGCCUGAAUAGGGUGAAGCCAGAGGAAACUCUGGUGGAGGCUCGCAGCGGUUCUGACGUGCAAAUCGAUCGUCAAAUUUGGGUAUAGGGGCGAAAGACUAAUCGAACCA
rnacentral:rRNA from 1 species